rnacentral:rRNA from 1 species
AUUGAACGCUGGCGGAAUGCUUUACACAUGAAGUCGAGCGGCAGCGCGGGGCAACCUGGCGGCGAGCGGCGAACGGGUGAGUAAUGUAUCGGAACGUGUCCUGUCGUGGGGGAUAGCCCGGUGAAAACCGGAUUAAUACCGCAUACGAUCGAGAGAGGAAAGUGGGGGACCGCAAGGCCUCACGCGGUAGGAGCGGCCGAUAUCUGAUUAGCUAGUUGGUGGGGUAAAGGCCCACCAAGGCUUCGAUCAGUAGCUGGUCUGAGAGGAUGAUCAGCCACACUGGGACUGAGACACGGCCCAGACUCCUACGGGAGGCAGCAGUGGGGAAUUUUGGACAAUGGGGGCAACCCUGAUCCAGCCAUUCCGCGUGAGUGAAGAAGGCCUUCGGGUUGUAAAGCUCUUUUGUCCGGGAAGAAACGGUUUCACCUAAUACGUGAGACUACUGACGGUACCGGAAGAAUAAGGACCGGCUAACUACGUGCCAGCCGCCGCGGUAACAC